rnacentral:rRNA from 1 species
AUGAAUGAUGAAGAUGUACAUUGGCGGUUCACAGGUUUUUAUGCUCAUCCGGUUUGGAGUGAACGCAAGUUAUCAUGGGAUAAUAUUCGGAAUUUACAUAAUUUGGGUCAUCACCCCUGGGUGAUCUUAGGGGAUUUUAGUGAAAUAUUACUAUCGUCCGAAAAAGAGGGUGGAAAUGUGAGACCAAAUGCUAUGAUGAGAGAUUUUCGAAAUUGUUUAGGAGAGUGUGGCCUCGAGGAUAUGGGCUGUAUCGGUGACCCUUUCACUUGGAGGAGAGGCGAUACUAGAGAGAGACUUGAUCGUGCCGUGUGCAAUGUGGAAUGGGCGAACAAAUUUGGGACCGUGAGGUUUUAA